rnacentral:rRNA from 1 species
AUUGAACGCUGGCGGCAGACCUAACACAUGCAAGUCGAGCGAGCGGCGCACGGGUUAGUAAUGUAUGGGGACUGCCCGAUAGAGGGGGAUAACUACUGGAAACGGUAGCUAAUACCGCAUACUAUCGGAUAACCCAUAUGGGAUGAGCUAGUCGGUGGGGUAAUGGCUCACCUAGGCGACGAUCCCUAGCUGGUCUGCGAGGAUGAUCAGCCACACUGGGACUGAGACACGGACCAGACUCCUACGGAGGCAGCAGUGGGGAAUAUUGCACAAUGGGCGCAAGCCUGAUGCAGCCAUGCCGCGUGUAUGAAGAAGGCCAUAGGGUUGUAAAGUACUUUCAGGCGGGAGGCGUUACCGACAGAAGAAGCACCGGCUAACUCCGUGCCAGCAGCCGCGGUAAUAC